rnacentral:rRNA from 1 species
GAAUGGGGAAACCCACCCGCUUGCGGGUAUCCUGCAGUGAAUACAUAGCUGCUGGAAGCGAACCUGGUGAACUGAAAUAUCUAAGUAACCAGAGGAAAAGAAAUCAACCGAGAUUCCGUAAGUAGCGACGAGCGAACGCGGACUAGCCCUUAAGCUGAUUUGGUUCUAGGAAAACACUCUGGAAAGAGUGGCCAUAGAAGGUGAUAGCCCUGUAUCUGAAAGGGCCAUUUCAGUGAAGACGAGUAGGGCGGGGCACGUGAAACCCUGUCUGAACAUGGGGGGACCAUCCUCCAAGGCUAAAUACUACUGACCGACCGAUAGUGAACCAGUACCGUGAGGGAAAGGCGAAAAAGAACCCCGGAGAGGGGAGUGAAAUAGAACCUGAAACCGUGUGCGUACAAGCAGUAGGAGCUCCGCAAGGAGUGACUGCGUACCUUUUUGUAUAAUGGGUCAGCGACUUACUGUUCGUGGCAAGCUUAACCGUAUAGGGGAGGCGAAGGGAAACCGAGUCUGAUAAGGGCGCAUAGUCGCGGGC